rnacentral:rRNA from 1 species
UACAGAGGGUGCAAGCGUUGUCCGGAAUCACUGGGCGUAAAGGGCGCGUAGGCGGCCCGGUAAGUAGGGGGUGAAAUCUCACGGCUCAACUGUGAGGCUGCCUUCUAGACUGCCAGGCUCGAGCACAGUAGAGGCUGGUGGAAUUCCCGGUGUAGCGGUGGAAUGCGUAGAGAUCGGGAAGAACAUCUGUGGCGAAGGCGGCCAGCUGGGCUGUUGCUGACGCUGAUGCGCGACAGCGUGGGGAGCAAACAGG